rnacentral:rRNA from 1 species
GACGAACCGUGCGAACGUUGUUCGGAAUCACUGGGCUUAAAGGGCGCGUAGGCGGGUCAGCAAGUCAGGGGUGAAAGCCCACGGCUCAACCGUGGAAGUGCCUUUGAUACUGCUGGUCUUGAGGGAGGUAGGGGCGUGCGGAACUUCCGGUGGAGCGGUGAAAUGCGUAGAUAUCGGAAGGAACACCGGUGGCGAAAGCGGCGCCGCUGGAUCUCUACUGACGCUGAGGCGCGAAAGCCAGGGGAGCAAACGGG